CUCUGCAGUGAUGGUAACCAUCUUUCGGGUCAUAAAACUGAUGUUGACAAUUUUCUCUGCUGAGCAAAG